AAAACUUUAAAAUAUGGUAUAUUGUUUUAUAGUAUUAAGCUAUAAGUAGAAAGUAUUUAUAAAAUUAGACUAGACUAUUAUGAAAAUGAAAGGCCGCAGGCAAAAAGUUUGGAAACCAUUGGCUUAGCCGGUUUCGCUAAGAGUAUGCCAGCAGUAACAGUUCCCUCUUCAUGUGUUCCAAAAUUGUCAAUCCAGCGGUGGAGCAGAAAAGCAGUUUCCCGAGGAACAUCUUGUCAUCCAUAACCGCCAAAAAACUGGGGGAACAAUAUCACCACCUGGUUAUACCCAAUCACAUAUGUAAGAUUACUACAAAGGUUUUCCCAGUGCCUCGACUUUUCGGAACACUGCAUCUUUUAUUACUCAGUUGGAUGCCUUAUUCCUUAGUUUGGGUAGAACCAGAAUUUUACCCAGAGGAGAAAGUUUAUCUGAACCUCCAAUCCGCUACCGUCUCCACGAGGACGCGGAGUUGGUAAUUUUUGGAGGGAUUCUGUAAGCAUAUACUACUAUCCAAAUUUCGGCGAGAACAUCAAGAUCGAACCGAUCGUGCGAGUUCAACUCGAAAACAUCUUCAAGCACAAAAUUCCAAAUCGAGAUCGUUCUCUAACCCUUGGGCUUUAUUGUUGGACAAUGGCUUCUGAAUCACGAUUAUCAGAGGACAGAUUCGUGAUUCAGAAGCUUUCCAGUAGUUUUUGCCAGCAGAUGACGCCACUUUAUAUUCUAGAAAAAUACUAAGUGACGGGGCGAAACAAGCCCUUCCAUAGGC
rnacentral:lncRNA from 1 species